rnacentral:rRNA from 1 species
CCUACGGGAGGCAGCAGUGAGGAAUAUUGGUCAAUGGUCGCAAGCCUGAACCAGCCAAGUCGCGUGAGGGAUGACGGUCCUAUGGAUUGUACACCUCUUUUGUCGGGGAGCAAGGCCUGCCACGUGUGCCGGGAAGGAGAGUACCCGAAGAAAAAGCAUCGGCUAACCCCGUGCCAGCAGCCGCGGUAAUACGGAGGAUGCGAGCGUUAACCGGAUUUAUUGGGUUUAAAGGGUGCGUAGGCGGAAGGUUAAGUCAGCGGUAAAAUGUCGGUGCUCAACACCGGCCUGCCGUUGAAACUGGUCUUCUUGAGUGAGCGAGAAGUAUGCGGAAUGCGUGGUGUAGCGGUGAAAUGCAUAGAUAUCACGCAGAACUCCGAUUGCGAAGGCAGCAUGCCGGCGCUCAACUGACGCUGAGGCACGAAAGCGUGGGGAUCGAACAGGAUUAGAUACCCUAGUAGUC